rnacentral:tRNA from 1 species
AUUUAGAUAUCUUAAGGUAAGAGUAUAACACUGAAGAUGUUGAGGUAGUUAAUUAACUUCUAGAUA